rnacentral:rRNA from 1 species
UGCAAGUCGAACGAUGAUCCGGUGCUUGCACCGGGGAUUAGUGGCGAACGGGUGAGUAACACGUGAGUAACCUGCCCUUAACUCUGGGAUAAGCCUGGGAAACUGGGUCUAAUACCGGAUAUGACUGAUCAUCGCAUGGUGGUUGGUGGAAAGCUUUUUUGUGGUUUUGGAUGGACUCGCGGCCUAUCAGCUUGUUGGUGAGGUAAUGGCUUACCAAGGCGACGACGGGUAGCCGGCCUGAGAGGGUGACCGGCCACACUGGGACUGAAACACGGCCCAAACUCCUACGGGAGGCAGCAGUGGGGAAUAUUGCACAAUGGGCGCAAGCCUGAUGCAGCGACGCCGCGUGAGGGAUGACGGCCUUCGGGUUGUAAACCUCUUUCAGUAGGGAAGAAGCGAAAGUGACGGUACCUGCAGAAGAAGCGCCGGCUAACUACGUGCCAGCAGCCGCGGUAAUACGUAGGGCGCAAGCGUUAUCCGGAAUUAUUGGGCGUAAAGAGCUCGUAGGCGGUUUGUCGCGUCUGCCGUGAAAGUCCGGGGCUCAACUCCGGAUCUGCGGUGGGUACGGGCAGACUAGAGUGAUGUAGGGGAGACUGGAAAUUCCUGGUGUAGCGGUGAAAUGCGCAGAUAUCAGGAGGAACACCGAUGGCGAAGGCAAGGUCUCUGGCCAUUAACUGACGCUGAGGAGCGAAAGCAUGGGGAGCGAACAGGAUUAGAUACCCUGGUAGUCCAUGCCGUAAACGUUGGGCACUAGGUGUGGGGGACAUUCCACGUUUUCCGCGCCGUAGCUACGCAUUACUGCCCCGCCUGGGGAGUACGUCGCAGCUAAACUCAAAGAUUGAC